CAAGUCGAGCGAUGAAACUACUUCGGUAGUGAAUUAGCGGCGAACGGGUGAGGAACACGUGAGGAAUCUGCCUUCAACACUGGGAUAACUCCGGGAAACCGGGGCUAAUACCGGAUACGAGCCUUGAUCGCAUGAUCGAGGCUGGAAAGUUUUUCGGUUGAAGAUGACCUCGCGGCCUAUCAGCUUGUUGGUGAGGUAAUGGCUCACCAAGGCGACGACGGGUAGCCGGCCUGAGAGGGCGACCGGCCACACUGGGACUGAGACACGGCCCAGACUCCUACGGGAGGCAGCAGUGGGGAAUAUUGGGCAAUGGAGGAAACUCUGACCCAGCGACGCCGCGUGCGGGAUGAAGGCCUUCGGGUUGUAAACCGCUUUCAGUAGGGAAGAAGCGAAAGUGACGGUACCUACAGAAGAAGCACCGGCUAACUAUGUGCCAGCAGCCGCGGUAAUACAUAGGGUGCAAGCGUUGUCCGGAAUUAUUGGGCGUAAAGAGCUCGUAGGUGGUUUGAUACGUCGGGUGUGAAAUUCAGGGGCUCAACCCCUGACCUGCAUUCGAUACGGUCAAGCUAGAGUUUGGUAGGGGAGACUGGAAUUCCUGGUGUAGCGGUGGAAUGCGCAGAUAUCAGGAGGAACACCGAUGGCGAAGGCAGGUCUCUGGGCCAAUACUGACACUGAGGAGCGAAAGCGUGGGGAGCGAACAGGAUUAGAUACCCUGGUAGUCCACGCCGUAAACGGUGGGCGCUAGUUGUGCGAACCUUCCACGGUUUGUGCGACGCAGCUAACGCAUUAAGCGCCCCGCCUGGGGAGUACGAUCGCAAGAUUAAAACUCAAAGGAAUUGACGG
rnacentral:rRNA from 1 species